GACGAACGCUGGCGGCGUGCUUAACACAUGCAAGUCGAACGGUAAGGCCCUUCGGGGUACACGAGUGGCGAACGGGUGAGUAACACGUGGGUGAUCUGCCCUGCACUUCGGGAUAAGCCUGGGAAACUGGGUCUAAUACCGGAUAGGACCACUGCCUGCAUGGGUGGUGGUGGAAAGCUUUUGCGGUGUGGGAUGGGCCCGCGGCCUAUCAGUUUGUUGGUGGGGGGAUGGCCGACCAAGGCGACGACGGGUAGCCGGCCUGAGAGGGUGACCGGCCACACUGGGACUGGGAAACGGACCAGACGACUACGGGAGGCAGCAGUGGGGAAUAUUGCACAAUGGGCGCAAGCCUGAUGCAGCGACGCCGCGUGAGUGAUGACGGCCUUCGGGUUGUAAACCUCUUUCAGCACCGACGAAGCGCAAGUGACGGUAGGUGCAGAAGAAGGACCGGCCAACUACGUGCCAGCAGCCGCCGUAA
rnacentral:rRNA from 1 species